rnacentral:rRNA from 1 species
AGCGGCGGACGGGUGAGUAACGCGUGGGUAACCUGCCUCAUACAGGGGGAUAACAGUUAGAAAUGACUGCUAAUACCGCAUAAGACCACAGCACCGCAUGGUGCGGGGGUAAAAACUCCGGUGGUAUGAGAUGGACCCGCGUCUGAUUAGCUAGUUGGUAAGGUAACGGCUUACCAAGGCGACGAUCAGUAGCCGGCCUGAGAGGGUGACCGGCCACAUUGGGACUGAGACACGGCCCAA